rnacentral:Y_RNA from 1 species
GGCUGGUCAGAGGUAGUGUGUUAUCUCAAUUGAUUAUUUACAGUCAGUUACAGAUGGAACUCUUCAUUCUACUCUCUUUCCCCCCUUCUCACUAUUGCACCUGACUAGUCUAAA